GUGGGGAAUAUUCCGCAAUGGGCGCAAGCCUGACGGAGCAACGCCGCGUGAAUGAAGAAGGUCUUCGGAUUGUAAAGUUCUGUCAUUAGGGACGAAGGACCUAUGCGAAUAGUGUAGGGAAUGACGGUACCUAAGGAGGAAGCUCCGGCUAACUACGUGCCAGCAGCCGCGGUAAUACGUAGGGAGCAAGCGUUGUCCGGAAUUACUGGGCGUAAAGGGCGCGUAGGCGGACGGAUAAGUCAGAUGUGAAAUCUCCGGGCUCAACCUGGAGCGUGCAUUUGAAACUGUCUGUCUUGAGGGCAGGAGAGGAAAGUGGAAUUCCUAGUGUAGCGGUGAAAUGCGUAGAUAUUAGGAGGAACACCAGUGGCGAAGGCGACUUUCUGGACUGAACCUGACGCUGAGGCGCGAAAGCAUGGGGAGCGAACGGGAUUAGAAACCCUGGUAGUCC
rnacentral:rRNA from 1 species